ACGAAGGGGGCUAGCGUUGUUCGGAAUCACUGGGCGUAAAGCGCGCGUAGGCGGAUUGUUAAGUCAGGGGUGAAAUCCCGAGGCUCAACCUCGGAACUGCCUUUGAUACUGGCGAUCUUGAGUCCGGGAGAGGUGAGUGGAACUCCUAGUGUAGAGGUGAAAUUCGUAGAUAUUAGGAAGAACACCAGUGGCGAAGGCGGCUCACUGGCCCGGUACUGACGCUGAUGUGCGAAAGCGUGGGGAGCAAACAGGA
rnacentral:rRNA from 1 species